rnacentral:rRNA from 1 species
UACGUAGGGUGCAAGCGUUAAUCGGAAUUACUGGGCGUAAAGCGUGCGCAGGCGGUGAUGUAAGACAGUUGUGAAAUCCCCGGGCUCAACCUGGGAACUGCAUCUGUGACUGCAUCGCUGGAGUACGGUAGAGGGGGAUGGAAUUCCGCGUGUAGCAGUGAAAUGCGUGGAUAUGCGGAGGAACACCGAUGGCGAAGGCAAUCCCCUGGACCUGUACUGACGCUCAUGCACGAAAGCGUGGGGAGCAAACAGG